UACGUAGGGUGCAAGCGUUUGUCCGGAAUUAUUGGGCGUAAAGAGCUCGUAGGCGGUCUGUUGCGUCGGCUGUGAAAACCCGGGGCUCAACCCCGGGCCUGCAGCCGAUACGGGCAGACUAGAGUUCGGCAGGGGAGACUGGAAUUCCUGGUGUAGCGGUGAAAUGCGCAGAUAUCAGGAGGAACACCGGUGGCGAAGGCGGGUCUCUGGGCCGAUACUGACGCUGAGGAGCGAA
rnacentral:rRNA from 1 species